rnacentral:rRNA from 1 species
UUCCUACGGGCGGCAGCAGUGGGGAAUUUUGGACAAUGGGCGCAAGCCUGAUCCAGCCAUGCCGCGUGCAGGAUGAAGGCCUUCGGGUUGUAAACUGCUUUUGUACGGAACGAAAAGACUCCUUCUAAUAAAGGGGGUUCAUGACGGUACCGUAAGAAUAAGCACCGGCUAACUACGUGCCAGCAGCCGCGGUAAUACGUAGGGUGCGAGCGUUAAUCGGAAUUACUGGGCGUAAAGCGUGCGCAGGCGGUGAUGUAAGACAGAUGUGAAAUCCCCGGGCUCAACCUGGGAACUGCAUUUGUGACUGCAUCGCUGGAGUGCGGCAGAGGGGGAUGGAAUUCCGCGUGUAGCAGUGAAAUGCGUAGAUAUGCGGAGGAACACCGAUGGCGAAGGCAAUCCCCUGGGCCUGCACUGACGCUCAUGCACGAAAGCGUGGGGAGCAAACAGGAUUAGAUACCCCAGUAGUC